rnacentral:rRNA from 1 species
GUGUCAGCAGCCGCGGUAAUACGUAGGGGGCAAGCGUUGUCCGGAUUCAUUGGGCGUAAAGAGCUCGUAGGCGGCUUGGCAAGUCGGGUGUGAAAACUUCAGGCUCAACCUGGAGCGGCCACUCGAUACUGCCAUGGCUAGAGUCCGGUAGGGGACCACGGAAUUCCUGGUGUAGCGGUGAAAUGCGCAGAUAUCAGGAGGAACACCGGUGGCGAAGGCGGUGGUCUGGGCCGGAACUGACGCUGAGGAGCGAAAGCGUGGGGAGCGAACAGGAUUAGAAACCCCCGUAGUCC